GCUGGUUGCUUUAAACAGCAAGAAAACACUUUAAACAAACUGAGAGGAAAACGCAAAAUGCAAGCUCUGCUGCUCCUCUUGAAAACAAGCGUGGUUUUGGGACAAAGCCUCUGCUGAAGGAAAGCCUGCCUGUGCUGGGAUCGCAUCACUGCGCACCGUUUCUAAACGUUCCCCCAAGGAUAUUACUAGUCUCUGUGUAUGAAUAAGCCACUUAGAGUGCAUAGCUGUUAUAUUACAAUUUUCUAAGAGGUGCUGGCAUCUGGAGAAAUUACAUUCCACUGGACCCUGCGACGGAAAGAAUGAGUUCAAGAACAAAGAAUGAAAUCCUCCGUUCUGCACUCAGAAAUCUGAUCUUCACCAAAGGGUACGGGCGAGCUGGUAGCAUGCCCUCGGCUGGACCUUGAAACUGCCAGCUGAAGGGAGUGCUUCAUGCAGCCUUUCCCUUUUCUGCACUGAGCCAUCCAUAGAAUUAAACUCAGCACCACUUAGCAGGUGGAAAAAUCUCACUGGCGAACUUGGUGACACCGAAACGCAUGGGAUUAACAGCCCCGCCAUGCUGCUGCCUCUGUUUUCAGGAUGGGCACGAUUGGCAUCGCGCUCUUGGCACCUCGCUCUGUCAAGACACCUCUCUGGGUGGGAGGGCGAUGCCGAGCGCCUGGCUGCCCGCCAGCCCGCCCGGAGCCGCACGCACAUUGCAGCGGAGCUGCAAAAUGGAGAUCGCCCACUCCCAGCAGCCUGUGCCGGCGGCUGUCUGGCAGGAUUGAUGGUUGUCACUACUGAACGCUGCUGAGCCGGAGCCAAAAGCAAAUGAGUGGAUGUCCUCGUGAGCCUGCUUGGGGAGGAAAAAAAUGGAAAAAGACAAAAACCACCAAAAACCUAAGAACUUUAUUUUUUUCGGUUUAGAAACUAAAGUAGAGAGCCUUGUUCCACUUUGUGAUUGCAUAGCUGGGAAGAGGUGAUGAGGCUGAGAGGAGUGCCUGCUGCACGCGGAGCUGGGAGGUCAGCAGCUCUCCGCUCCUUGGUACCGUGUUGGGGUGGAGCAGAUUUUAGGGGGAAGGAGGAGGUGUCCUCCUCUGCUAAGCUGUUCCUGGGAUGAGAGAUGGAUGUAGUUUAGUGGGAAAUAGUGGUGAUAGAUGAACGGUUGGACUAGAUGAUCUUGGAGGUCUUUUCCAACCUUGGUGAUUCAAUGAUUCUAUGAGAGGGAUGAAAGGACAGGCUGAUGUCUCUUAAUGGUUUUCCCUUUUUUCCAUGUGGAAACCGAGGCCUGGGCCCGCUCCAAGUUGUGAUCAUAGCAGCAGCUAACGUGUGACUGUGGUGAGGUAGCUGGUUGUAAUGCAUUUUAUCAACGUGGGGACUGGAUUUGUGCAACCUGAGUGAAGGGCUGUGUGGUUUGAUGGUUGGACUAGAUGAUCUUAGUGGUCUUUCCAACUUAAAUGAUUCUAUGGUGCAGCCGAAGGGUUUUCACAAAGCACUGAUGGGAACAUGGUGUUAAAGCCUAGGUUGUAAUAUCUGAAGUGAGAUUGAUCUGCACCAGCCAAGCUGAGUUCAGGAUCUUGCCUCUUUUAGUCCUGGUGUGGAGUCCAUUCAUGUGCCAGCCUCCAAAUUCUUCACGAAACACAGAAAACAAGUAGCUAGACCAACAUGUACCAAAGGGUGAGAACAACCUGGAGGAUGGUGUGCUUUAAUCUGUGAUCCCUCACCUCUUGAAAAAGGAGCAAAAGGGGACAUGGUUAGUGGGCAUGGUGGUGAUGCGUUGAUGGUUGAGCUAGAUGAUCUUAGUGGUUUUCCCAACCUUAGUGGUUCUAUGAUUCUAUAAAAGGAAGGAAAGAAAGACAGAAAGAUAUAUGUUUCCUUUUCUCCUCUAUGUUGAAAAAAAUAGCUUAUUCUUCUGCCUGCUUCCUCUUUCCUUCCCUCAUGUCCUUAUUCUGAUAGGAUGUUGAGAAAAAAAUAUUUUCCUUGACCAUGUAUCCAGUCCCUCCUGGGAUGGGUGUGCAGUGGAGUUGCUGCUCCCUGGGCUGGGGAGCAGUUUGGUCUGUACUGCCUCAGUUCUGCUAUUCACACUGUGAUGUUUUUCUCUGGGCAGACCUGAACUGUACAAAUGAGAUCCUUUCAGACAGACCCUGCUAGAAACACCGUGUGUGUAUCCUUGAGUUACGUCACAGGAUUUGACACUGAAGGUAGCUUUUUGCUUGCAUCUGCUGAGAGAAAGUCUCCUACUUGGUGAUGUGGCCUCUGCAGGAUGUGUCCUUGUGUUUUUUCCUCCUGUGUGACUUGAGGGCUGAGACUGCCAUGGCAGCUGUCUGUGCUGGGGGAACAGUGAGGGGAAAGGUGCCUUCUUCUUGUGGCACUCACAGCACCUACACUGCUCAUUCCUUGGGGGGUACCAAGUUGCAGAGGCAAAAUGCAUGGUAUUUAUUGUCUUGGCAGAUAGCAAGAGCACAGCUACGUAUGCUGCAGAAAUCACUGUGCUUACCCUCUCUCUAGGACACUGAGCACCAGCUGCAUGCUCCCACCUGGUACAGAGCUAGCACAGCAACCAGCUGGAAGGAUGCAAUUGCAGCAGCAAGGCUGGGACAGACGUUCCCUCUCCUGCAGCCCAGCACUUCUUAUGCAAAAGCUCCUUCCCUGUUUGUCCCACCAGCUCUGCUCUUCAGAUGGACCGUAGUUACAUACAGGAGGAAGCAUGGGGCAAGCAUCACUGUGACCUAUAGUCGUAAAUUACUCACAUAACUUGAAGUCUCAGGUGGUUUGAAACAAAUGCUUCUUACCUUGCUGAGCAGGAGCUUCCUCUCCCUAUUGGCUUCAGGAAGGUGGAAGGUGACAUGUCCUGCCCUCGUGCAGCCAGGGUCUUGCCCCACUGUGCAACCCGAUGGGCACCUUCAGCUACAGGGAGCUUUCCAUCACUCCUCUGCUUUAGUGAAAACUAGAUCCAAGUGUUGAGUUCAUGGAGCAUUCACUGGCUGUUUGUUUGUAUCCUGUCAAAGAUUAUACUUGCUUCAGCUCCUUCUUCCUCCUUUUUCCUCAUUAGGUCAGAUGGUAUCUUUUUAUUAAGCAGCAUAAGAAAAGAACGAAGAUUUAAACUCAUUUAACCUUGACUAUAGCCAUUAGUUAAGUAAUUAAAAUUAAAGGGUGAGUUAAUGGGCAGUGUCAAACAUUCGAAGAAACAUCUGCUGUAAUAGAAGUGUGCCUUUUAGCUGAUGAAUAAUUGAUCCGUCGCUCCUUGGUACCUAGGUCUGGGUGAGGAGGCAGUGCUGGCCCUGCUGGAGCAUCACUGGUGUCCCCUCACCAGACACAGACUCCAGGACAGCAGGAAGACUUGGACCAAACCACUUGAGGAUGCAUUAAGAAAACCUGCAAUGUAGCUCCUCGACCAAGGUCAUUCCUCUCAGUUCUUCUGCUUUCCUGGGAUCAGAUGUGUUAUUUCAGGUCUAGAGGAACUGGUGGCUUAUUUUUACAUCUUUAUUAAUGUGUGUGUGGAUGGAUGUGGUGUCUGUCUGGACACCAAUAGCCGGGGAUGUAGAUGACUCAGACUGCUUUGGAUUGUAACACUGAGCUAAAUUAACUUGCUUUUUGGCAGACAGCAAACGUGAGUGAAUGUCUUUGCUAAUGCAUUGAGGACAACGCUGUAAAUAUUGAGCAAAGUUUGAGGGGUAAAUGGCAGAAAGCAUUUGUCUCUUGACCGUGAUAAUGCUAAUAAUGCUGAAGUUACUCCUGUAAUACUAUGAUCUCCCAUAGAAAGCUGGGUUUGUGUUGAACUGGUCUCUGCGUGGGGUGGAUUGAUAGAGCAAGGCCACACCAAUCACACAGACCCACUUUGAUACCAGGAUGGGAGCGUCCGAGCGACCCAGACACCGAAUUGAGGGCACUGGAGCAUUUGUUGCGUGGGAUGUGGGAGAGGGAAUCCUGGGUCACGGGAGGUUCUUGACGUGCUGUUUUCCGCAUUGUCUCUUAAUCCCUGAAAAAUCACACAAGGUUCCUUGAGUAACGCCUCAGACCUUGUGCGCGUGCAACCAGCUGAAGCGAGACAAGCCUGGCUCUGUGCUCCAGCCAGUUGUUAGCAUGGCAAGGGGAGCUCCUCACCUUUGUGUCAGGGUGUGUGAGUGCAGGCCUCUUUGUAAAGGGAUCUGGGAAAAAGCGCUGGGAAGGAAACAGAAAAAGCAGAAUGAAAGUUAAUGGGAAGGUAUCUUUGAGAUGAGUGUUAACAGAGCACAGGCUCUUCUCUCUUUCUCAGGCUGUGUCUGGUCAAGGUUUCACAAAGCAGUAAUAUCCAUUGAGAGAAAAGUAGCAGAAUCACUUCCACGCUCCCGAAGAAAACACUUGUAUAAAUAUUUGGUUUUCAUAUCCUCAUCCCUCUUUUCUCAGGACAAUUUGAGGAACUUGAAUUUAUGCAGUUCAGGUUUUGUUUAAAAUCAAGUCAAUAUGUGCUUGCAUCAUAAGCAUAAAGAAAGGGAAAUAAACUGGGAUGGGAAAAUUAUCUGUGUGCCUUCAGCUGGCGUUAGCUGACAGCAAGCAGAACCUGUAGUUCACUUUCUUCCCUUAUCUCACCCCCUGCCUUUGUUCUAGCAUCUGCUUGAACUUCUGCUGCUGUUUUCAACUUCUUUUUCUGCUUCUUCAGACUAGAGCGGCUCUUUUCUCAAUAUAAAAUUGUCCCUGGAUUAUUUUCAAGUGUUUGAUGCCUUGCCCCACUUCUACCUUUCACUAGCUUGUCAAUAUUGUCUUUAAUGACACACAAAUGCAAACAGACCUCACUUUUAAGGCUGUGUACAGCAGGCAACACAUUUGGCUUGCUCUGGAACUCCUUGAACCAGGAUAUAUUUAAACAAAAUUUUAACUGCUGAGGUUAUGAACAUGCAUAACUGCCCAUCUGAAUGUGUGUGGGACGUGUACAAAGAAGUUCAUGUUGAACUUGAGCAGGAGCUUUUUUACAGCAAAGAUAACUGAAAAUGGAUGAAAUGGGAAUUUUUUUUAACCUUAAAGAAUUUUAUUGGAGGAAAUUAGUGCAGUUGGACAAGGAGAUCAUAUUCAAAGCUAGAAUUCAGCCAAUCCACCUCUCAGUAAUAAAAAAGAGAAUAUUUUCAAACUUCAGUAGCAAAAGAACCCCUCAGAAACAGCAAGAAGUCUCUAAAGACUGACUUUUGCAAUGUGCUUAAUUCCAUGUUUGGUGAUACUACAUAACUAAAAGUGUAUUUUUUUUUCACUUUGCCCCAAAAUCCAUAUCUGUAUUUCCAAGCCAACCACAACUUCAGCAUUGUCCCUGUGGUGACGUAGGUGAUACAUUAUAGUAACCUGGUUAUGUUUUCUUGGCCGUGAACUUACAAAAAUGACCAUUGCGCUUUCUUUUACCCAAGGAUUUUGAAUAAAGGAUAUGAAGAAAUUUCUGCUAAGCAGUUUAGGUGAGGUUAUUGACUGAAAUGAAAGCAAACUGGCGCCUUAGACUGCUGUCCUUCAGAUAACUUCCCAAAACACCACUUUUUCUUGUGUGGUAGCCAGAUAUUAUCUGUACUGACUUCUUUUCAGCCCUUCUGUUUACAUCUACAGACAAUAAAUGAGGAGUUGCCUGGGCCCAGAGCAUUUUUCCCCCUCACACCACAUCUUCCCAGAGAAGGGAACACAGCAGCAGUGGGUUAUCUGAGGAUAUGGGCUAUAGGAACAGCGAUGUUGGAAUAGCCGAGUUUAUGCACAGGAUUAUAGGAUAGCAGGAAGCUGCUGACUAAUCUGCUCCAGGAUUACCUUGUGCACUGACACAGCAAAAGAUUUGGGUGGUAAUGUCUAAUUUUUCCUUAUGUUUUUAUUAGGAUUGUCAGCCAGUCGUUGCAUCCCUGUGUGGGGAGGAAGGUGAGCAGAGAUUUGCACACAGAGACAUCCUCUGCCUCGGCUGCUUGCCCAGAUUUCCAAUUUGGGCUGCAUGCAUGCAUCCCACCAUGUGAUGCUGGCCUUUUUGCCUGGCACACACAGUCCCAGGCUGGCACAGAACCAGGUGGAACUUGGAGAGGUUGCAAGCCCAGAAGGUUUGUCUUUGAAUACAGUUUUGCUGAAUGGAGUGUUGAGAGUGAAGGAUGAAACAAGCCUUGCUCCUGGGAGAGUUUUCUUAUGGCCUCUGUUCCCUCAAGAGCCACCCAAGCUGGAGUUUCAGAGUGGUUAUUACAAUCACGGCCUCCUCGUGUCACCGCAUGAUGAAAUUAGUGUGGCAUUUUGUGGUGGGUUUUCCUUUGUCUUUUGUUUUGAAAACAUUUGAUCUGUUUUUUAAAAACAAAAAUCCCCAUGGGUUUUCCAACUCCCCCAGAAAUGCCAAGCCCAUCAUUUGGAGUCCUUUUUCUGCUCUCAGUUUGAAGCUCACCUGACAGCCUGCAUUUGCAUGCAGGUGUUCCAUUACACCGAAUUUGUUCCAAUGCACUGCAACCGUUUCCAUACUGUAAAAUUAGGCAGUUUAAUGAAAAAGGCGCUUUUAGAAAAAAACAAUCACAUCACUCAGGUGCUCAGUGUGUGUGCUCCGACCUCCUGCUGGCCUCCGCAAGAGCCAUUCCCCUCCUGGCAUUGUGCAGAGCCACCCAGAUCCCCUCCUGUCCUUUCUUCCUUGUUGUCAGCAGUAACAGUGACAGCCAGACAGGGUUAGAAAUGGCCUUUAGCUGAUGUUUGCCCUCUACGCUCUGGCCAAAAUACAGCUCAUCCCAUAUAAUGUAUAAUCGAUAGGUGAUUAGAAAAACAAAACAAAACAAAACAAAAAACAAACAAAUAAAAAAAAAAAACAAAAACAAAACUAUUGGGCUUGUCCAGGUCCCUGUCUGAAUGUAGGCAGACUUCAAACAUACACUGCUUAUACUGAGGAGUAGUACAGUUGCACAGGCAAGGAGAAGGUUUUGUCAUUACUUUAUCAUUUACAUAACACUAUGUGAACAUUUUUUCUUAUCUUUUCUACGCCUCGAAACACUGUCUAAGCCGUGAAACAAUUUCUGAGCCCUGAAACACGUCUUGAGCCACUGCAGAUUGAGAGCAGGAGGAAGCAGCUUGUCUCUCACUGAUGACCCACGAGCAUCCUCUAGUGCAUACGUAAGGUCAUUGACACUUGGGAAUGACUGAGAAGAUCUGAGUGCUUCAUCCAAGUGCAGAAGGUCUAAGAUCCAUCAACAUGGCAUGGCGCUGAUGGUGGUGUGUUUACUCCGAGGAUGUAAGGGAUGGGGAUGUGUUUCCAGUAGAUAUAAGGAAGGACGAAGACCAUGAAGGUUCAGAAGCUGAUGUGACUUCAUCUGGGACACUCUGCUUGAUCUGGUUCUCUAUGUGAAAGGAAGAUGAAUGUAGGAGGAGGCAAAGAGAGGAGCUCUCUCUCAGGAGGCUGGCGUGGCCACCAAAGGGAGCAGUCCUGACAUGAAGGUUAACGGCUAUGUAAUCCUUCGUGGAGAGUAAAAUAAUUAUCAGGAGGCAAUGGUGCUAAUUACACAGAGCAGAAUAAAUGCACGCAAUCAGACCUUCUGCUAACAAAAGUAGAUUUCCAUGGAUCUACUCUUACUCCAGGAGAGUGUUCAAAGCUUUCCCUGCCUUUCUCCCCACCCCAGAAGAGAAAUUUGGAGCCUAAGUUCUCAGGGAUGUGAAAUCUCACUCUGUAAGGACAUUGAUAUGUUCGUGUUUACUUCCCAGCUUUCUAUUUUUAAGCUGCCCGUCCAAAACUGCCAGAGCUCGGACGAAGCACUCAGCUGUGCUAAAUAUUCCCAGCAUGACUGUUUUGAUGACUGAAACCCUGAAUCCCAAACUCUGCGCCUUUUGCACUCUCCCAUGGGUCCCUGCAGCUGGGUCUUUCUGCCCGGGCUGGGAGAGAUCUCAUGUAUGUGAGCUGCCAUCCCGUUACACAGGGAUAUUUUUCCACUUGGGGCCCAGGCCAAGCCAGUUGCAGUGACAGUGGUGGUGGUGGUACAAACUGGCUUCAGCAGUGACUCCUACGAACUGUGACAUUGUCAUUUUUUAACAGGAGUCCAUUUUACACAAAGUGCAGAAUGCACUCACCUUCAAAAAGAAAGCUGAGUGGUGUUGGGUGUAGUGUCAGAACCUGGCUACACUUCUGAUUCCUGCCAAGUCCUUACUGAGAGUUGUGUUUUACUUAAGAUUUCCCAGGAACUCAGUUCUUAAUUCACUUACUUUCUAAGUUAUUAGCUACUGCCAUAACUUAUGAUGAGAGUACUGCACAACCAAUCUACAAAAGACAAAUGUCUUGUAUCUAUUUAGUUGCUGUCUCAGCCAAACCGAUAAUUUCAUGAAAAGAGAAAAUCAAGCUUCUUUCACAAGACCUUUUUUCCCCAUAAAUCAUGUUGAUCCCUGUUAUUUACACUCUUUAUUUGUUGACUUCUAUAUCAGUAUUUCAUUACUUUGCCCAGAAUUGCUAACUGGCUUAGAAUUACUUAGUUGCCCUAGUUGUUUUUUUUAUGAGUUUGUCCAAACGCAGCACUUCUCCAAUCCUCUAAAAUGUUUGAAGUCCUCCAAGAUGAAGUGAGAGAGGGGCAGAGAUCCCUUGAGCCAACUCACUCCUGUUGUGAUGGUGACAGUUGCAUGGACCUGUUAAGGUAAUAAUGUUUAUCCCCAGUAAUGCUGUUUAAUAGCCUCCUUGGUUACUAAUGGGAUGGAAAGUGCAUUGUCUCCUCAUGACAUCAGUGCGUGAUUCUUCUUGUUUCCAAAUUCAGAACAAAAAUAUGUACUGAGCACCUCAGUCAUCUUCACAUCGACAUCAACAAUUUGACCGCUUCCAUCUUGUGAUGGUCGUGCUUCUGAAACAAGUACCAGCUUACAUGUAAAUGUAAACUAGAGCCAAAAGGCAGCUUAUUUCUGCCUGCCCUAUCUGAAAUCCUCAUGACUGACUUAGGACCUGAUUGUUCAAGGCUGUGGCAAUGAAAUCCUGAAGGCUGCUCAGGGUUGAAUGAAGCCUCCCAGGAUGCUGGUACCUUUGCUUCCGGAUGCCAAAACGACCUCAAAGAUUGAAAUGGGCAGCGACUGACACAGCAUAUGGUCAUAUUGAUUUUGUUAAAGCUAAAGAUGGCUGCAGUUCAAGUUUUAAAUUAGUCUGAAAGGCAGCACCGCGCUCUCCUUAAGCCAAUGACAUUCUUAAAUUUAUUUUACAACUGCAGGCAUUUUUCAUCCAAUGUUUUUAAAGGCUGGUUUCUAGGCACCACCUAUUCUAAGUACUUCUAAUGUAAAAAAUUAACCAGCUGCAGCACAGAGACGGAAGAAAAUGGAUUAACUUUGAUAACACAGCUCAGAAACGGCACAGACCUACAAACCUGCAGAGUGAGGCAGUGCCCACUGGCACUGACAUCAGUGCUCUCACAGUUAAUGACUAUGGUCUAUGACCGGAUCUUGUGAUUAGGGCUCUGAAGGUGCCGACUUCCAUUCAUGUGGGUUGGGUUACAUCACACAGACUGCUCUCUUCCUGGACACUCCUGGCACUCAGAGGUUCAUGUGCUGGGAGUGCCCUGGCCGUGCAAGCACAGUGAUCUCCUCCUAUUCACCACAUGCAUGGUUCUGUGGUGUGCGAGGAAUCACAGCGUUGUUCUUGGUCUCCAAUUCUGUCCCCUUUAAGGAAAAAACAAAAAGCAUAUUUUAAAACAUAGGUUUUCAGGCCAUUGUGCUGUGUUUUGGUUUGGUUUUGCCUUAAAGCAGGAAAUGUCAUCUCUUGGAAAGCUAUUGUGCCAUUAUGGGACAGAGAAAGCAUGAGCCAUGCUUCUGCGAGACUUUUUGUCCUUCAGAGACAAAGAAACCUGGCAAACAUGGUCAACACACUCUUCAAAAUGCUUUCAAGUAUUAACUGGAAAUUUCAGAAGUCCUUUUGUCCCACCAGUCCAGUACUGUAUUGCUCUUUACCCUCCCUUCAAGUAUGUGCAGAAUAUAUUUGCAUAAACUUUGCUGAAUUCACUGUGAAAGGGCACAGUGAGCUCUGCGUGGUUAACCUCGGCUCCUCUCCUUGUCCAGACGUGUCCCAAGCAAUCAGCUUGCUGCUGAACAACAGAUCACAGGACCAGUCAGACCACACACUGGAGAAUUUCCUGUUCAUCUUCUCCUUAUGUUAAUAAGAGGGCUUCUUAUAAAUGUGAUUAUUGGAGUCAAAGAUGUUGCUUAGUUUCUUUUUUUUGUUGUUCAGCUAUUACAAGCUAUAAUAAAAAAAGAAAUUACAAACAACACAAUCAGCCUUCACUA